GUAACCAAUAGUUCAGCUGGUUAGAGCAUGGUGCUCCUAACACCAAGAUUAAAGGUUUGAUCCCUUUAUGGGACA